AAGGGCACCACAAGAACGCGUGGAGCAUGUGGCUUAAUUUGACUCAACGCAGGAAAUCUUACCAGGUCCGGACACACUGAGGAUUGACAGGAAAUUUCGAAAAAAAUUUCACUCUGUACUUGUACAAGUGUUUGCUUUUAGAAAAAAUAAGCUAGUCCUUUCAUGAUGAUGUGAUAGGUGGUGCAUGGCCGUUCUUAGUUCGUGGAGUGAUCUGUCUGCUUAAUUGCGUUUCAAACAAAAAUUCUACACCAAAACAUAUAAAUGCUGGAUCGUGACGCCUCUCUUCAUUUAUUUGUUGAAGCUGAAACGUUGAAGGCUUUAUUCGUAGAUACCCGAAAUAAACGAACGUGAUCGCAACCUCUUGUUGCCUGUACUCUCAACAAAGGCGUUCAAACUUUUUAGUUUGCGUCUCAUAAACAGGCUUUAUAAUAAUAAACUCGAGGAACCGCUGCUCUUACCUAAACCAGAGGAAGGUUGCGGCAAUAACAGGUCUGUGAUGCCCUUAGAUGUUCUGGGCUGCACACGUGCUACAAUGAUUGUAGCAGUGAGCGUCUUUAAACAAAAGUUGUUAACACGAGCAGAUUUGUUUUUGUUUCUGUGUUCAACUAAGCCUACUUCGUCAGUAAGUGGGUAACCAAUUCGAAGUAACAAUUAUUAAAAUGCACACAAAUGGCUAGCACCAUUGGUCGACCUAACCUUCUGGUUAGUGUUCGUCUCCUUUGGUGAGUAUCUCCGGAUGCUUUUCAACUCAGUCGUGCAAUUAUCAAUUCAAGGUGGGGACAGAAGAUUGUUAAUUGUUCUUCUCGGUCUUAACUAGGAAUGCCUCGUACCGGUUUGGUUCAUCAGACCACCGGGAAUGCGUCCCUGCCCUUUGUACACACCGCCCGUCGCUCUUACCGAUGGAAUUCUCUGUGAGUUUGAAGGACUGGGUCAAAAAGUCAUCGCUGGUUUUUUGUUGUGUCAGAAAUUUAAACGAACAGUCGGUUCUAAAGGAAAGAGAAGUCGUAACAAGGCAUCGGUAGGUGAACC
rnacentral:rRNA from 1 species